rnacentral:rRNA from 1 species
UACGUAGGUGGCAAGCGUUGUUCGGAUUUACUGGGCGUAAAGGGCGCGUAGGCGGCAGAUCAAGUCAGCUGUGAAAUCUCCGAGCUUAACUCGGAACUGUCAGCUGAUACUGUUUUUGCUAGAGUGCGGAAGGGGCAAUCGGAAUUCUUGGUGUAGCGGUGAAAUGCGUAGAUAUCAUUUGGAACGCCAAUGGUGAAAAACAGCUCGCUGGGGGGUGCACUGACACUGAGACACGAAAAGCCAGGGGGAGCGAAACGGGG